AAAAAGAUAAGCUAAAUAAGCUUCCGGGUUCAUACCCCGGCGAUAGUGACUUCCACUUCUUUUUA
rnacentral:tRNA from 1 species